rnacentral:rRNA from 1 species
UACGUAGGGGGCAAGCGUUGUCCGGAAUCAUUGGGCGUAAAGAGCGUGUAGGCGGCCAGAAAAGUCCGCUGUGAAAACUCGAGGCUCAACUUCGAGCUGUCGGUGGAAACUUUCUGGCUAGAGUCCGGAAGAGGAGAAUGGAAUUCCUGGUGUAGCGGUGAAAUGCGCAGAUAUCGGGAAGAACACCCGUGGCUAAGGCGGCUCUCUAGUACGGUACUGACGCUGAGACGCGAAAGCGUGGGGAGCGAACAGG